GGAGACUUGUCAGAGUGGUCGAACGAGCAAGCCUGGAAAGUUUGUAUACGCGCAAGUGUAUCGAGGGUUCGAAUCCCUCAGUCUCCG
rnacentral:tRNA from 3 species